rnacentral:tRNA from 1 species
GCCCCCGUGGCCCAAUCCGGCAGAGGCAGCCGACUUAAAAUCGGCCCAGGUGUGGGUUCGACUCCCACCGGGGGCA